rnacentral:rRNA from 1 species
AGGAUGAACGCUAGCUACAGGCUUAACACAUGCAAGUCGAGGGGAAACGACAUCGAAAGCUUGUUUUUGAUGGGCGUCGACCGGCGCACGGGUGAGUAACGCGUAUCCAACCUGCCCACCACUUGGGGAUAACCUUGCGAAAGUAAGACUAAUACCCAAUGAUAUCUCUAGAAGACAUCUGAAAGAGAUUAAAGAUUUAUCGGUGAUGGAUGGGGAUGCGUCUGAUUAGCUUGUUGGCGGGGUAACGGCCCACCAAGGCAACGAUCAGUAGGGGUUCUGAGAGGAAGGUCCCCCACAUUGGAACUGAGACACGGUCCAAACUCCUACGGGAGGCAGCAGUGAGGAAUAUUGGUCAAUGGACGAGAGUCUGAACCAGCCAAGUAGCGUGCAGGAUGACGGCCCUAUGGGUUGUAAACUGCUUUUAUAAGGGAAUAAAGUGAGUCUCGUGAGAUUUUUUGCAUGUACCUUAUGAAUAAGGACCGGCUAAUUCCGUGCCAGCAGCCGCGGUAAUACGGAAGGUCCGGGCGUUAUCCGGAUUUAUUGGGUUUAAAGGGAGCGUAGGCCGGAGAUUAAGCGUGUUGUGAAAUGUAGAUGCUCAACAUCUGCACUGCAGCGCGAACUGGUUUCCUUGAGUACGCACAAAGUGGGCGGAAUUCGUAGUGUAGCGGUGAAAUGCUUAGAUAUCACGAAGAACCCCGAUUGCGAAGGCAGCUUGCUAAACUGUAACUGACGUUCAUGCUCGAAAGUGUGGGUAUCAAACAGGAUUAGAUACCCUGGUAGUCCACACGGUAAACGAUGGAUACUCGCUGUUGGCGAUAUACUGUCAGCGGCCAAGCGAAAGCAUUAAGUAUCCCACCUGGGGAGUACGCCGGCAACGGUGAAACUCAAAGGAAUUGACG